rnacentral:rRNA from 1 species
GGAUUGUAAACCUCUUUUAUCAGGGAAGAAGUUCUGACGGUACCUGAUGAAUAAGCAUCGGCUAACUCCGUGCCAGCAGCCGCGGUAAUACGGAGGAUGCAAGCGUUAUCCGGAAUUAUUGGGCGUAAAGCGUCCGUAGGUGGUUAUGCAAGUCUGCCGUUAAAGAAUGGAGCUUAACUCCAUAGGAGCGGUGGAAACUGCAAGACUAGAGUACAGUAGGGGUAGCAGGAAUUCCCAGUGUAGCGGUGAAAUGCGUAGAUAUUGGGAAGAACAUCGGUGGCGAAAGCGUGCUACUGGGCUGAAACUGACACUGAGGGACGAAAGCUAGGGUAGCGAAAGGGAUUAGAUACCCCUGUAGUCCUAGCCGUAAACGAUGGAUACUAGGCGUGGCUUGUAUCGACCCGAGCCGUGCCGAAGCUAACGCGUUAAGUAUCCCGCCUGRGGAGUACGCACGCAAGUGUGAAACUCAAAGGAAUUGACGGGGGCCCGCACAAGCGGUGGAGUAUGUGGUUUAAUUCGAUGCAACGCGAAGAACCUUACCAAGGCUUGACAUCCCUGGAAUCCUGCGGAAACGUGGGAGUGCCUUAGGGAGCCAGGAGACAGGUGGUGCAUGGCUGUCGUCAGCUCGUGUCGUGAGAUGUUGGGUUAAGUCCCGCAACGAGCGCAACCCUCGUUUUUAGUUGCCAUCAUUAAGUUGGGCACUCUAGAGAGACUGCCGGUGACAAACCGGAGGAAGGUGGGGAUGACGUCAAGUCAUCAUGCCCCUUACGCCUUGGGCUACACACGUACUACAAUGGUCGGGACAACGGGCAGCGAGCUCGCGAGAGUAAGCGAAUCCCAUCAAACCCGGCCUCAGUUCAGAUUGCAGGCUGCAACUCGCCUGCAUGAAGGAGGAAUCGCUAGUAAUCGCAGGUCAGAAUACUGCGGUGAAUUCGUUCCCGGGCCUUGUACACACCGCCCGUCACACCAUGG